UCACAGGGAGCCCCCCCCCCCCCUGUUGUGGACUUAAACUGUGCCCUGAGUUAUUGUCUUUAGGUCACCUCGACUGUGUUUGCACAAAUGCGCAUUCUUCCGUCACUUUCCCAAGCCUUUCCACACUCCCUUAUUUUGCCUUGAGAAAGCGUUGACCUUCGCCACCAGGGCGCCACAUGUGUGUGUCUGUGUGUGUUUCAUGCUCCUGGCAAAAUGCCUAGCGCCUUCCUACUCACCAGCACAGUGUUCUUACAGUUGCAGGAGCUGAAAAGACGACUUAUCUGUCGGCUCGCAUGUGUGGGAGGGUGUUGACGUCACUCGGCAGUCGAAUAAAAAGAGAGCGCGAGAGAUCUCCCCGAAGACCGACCCGCGACAUUUUCCAGACUGUAUCUUUGUCGAUCUGCUUCCUUUCCGAUAGGUUUGUCUGUUCUAUUUGGAGACUCUUGCUUGCGUGAGCUAUAGAGAGCUAUGGAGCACAGACUUGGUCCUAUCAUGUCGUUUCCUCUCUCGCCUUGGUUAAGAAUUCAUCUCGGACACCAAGGUCACGGCCCCUGCCAUGCAAAUGGAGGCCCCCCCGUUUCCUCAAGGGUCCCCUCUGUUCUGCAGUUGGUGGGGGGGCUCAACGGCGAGCGCCGGGGGCCGCGGAAACGCCAGCGGUUGUCAGGGAAGUUCUUGAGCAAGAAGACCACCAUCGGCGAUAAAGAAAUUGCCUCUGAAGAUAAAAAGUAGUGAUCGAGGAAUGGAUGAGAGAACGAUGGGCACAGCCGUAUCAAUAUCCGUAAUAGUCCCACGGUGUCACCACCUCUGCCCCGAGCUUCUCCAAUGCUCAUUACAAGCAUGAAAAUGGCAAGCAUGAAGCAGCAGCCAUUGGAAAGAGCGAGACAAAGCCAGUUAGUAACAUACUUCAUGGAUGAUGAUGAGACUUCAUCUAACAAUAGCAGCUUGUAACCAUGGUAACUAGCAUGUCAUUAUGAACAAGUUAAAAUACGGAGCCCAAAGUGAUGCAGCUCACCUUGAAAUGCGAUAGAAAAUUGAUACAGUUGAAUAUUGUAAUUGAUUUGGCUUGAGACACUAAAAUGCAAUGAUCGAACUGUUUUAUCAUUCAAAUGAAAUUAGAAAGGG